UACGUAGGGCGCAAGCGUUAUCCGGAAUUAUUGGGCGUAAAGAGCUCGUAGGCGGUUUGUCGCGUCUGCCGUGAAAGUCCGGGGCUCAACUCCGGAUCUGCGGUGGGUACGGGCAGACUAGAGUGAUGUAGGGGAGACUGGAAUUCCUGGUGUAGCGGUGAAAUGCGCAGAUAUCAGGAGGAACACCGAUGGCGAAGGCGGUCUCUGGACGGUGACUGGACGCUGAGGCGACGAAGACGUGGGGAGCAAACGGG
rnacentral:rRNA from 1 species